CUCUCUCAGGAUUGUGGGUAGUGGGAGGAGUCGAGAGUUUUGCGGCACACUUUUGAGAGUUUGUUACUUUUAAUCAAUUUCUUAGUUCUUUUUUAAGAUUCAUGUAAAAAAAAAAAAAAAAAAAAAGAUUAAUCUUAGACAUAAAACUUCUUUGAGCGCCGACUUCGGUCGGAAAACUUUGACAAAUGGGGUGAAGGGGAGAUUUCUCACGCUUGACUCUGAGACAUGGAUUUAAAUGUACACCUGAUGACUCCGUAUCUGUGGAAGAUGUGCUGGUUGCAGUCAGUGAACAGAUGUGUUGUUAUCUCUAGCAUCCCUGCUGGUGCCUCUGCAAAUUACACCUGCAACAUGAGGGGUCGUUAUGUGAACAUCAUCAUUCCCAAUGUUAUCCAGGCUCUCACGCUCUGUGAAGUGGAAGUCUAUGGGGUUCCAGGCUACACUUUUAUAUCCAGUUCACAAUUUCAUAUACAUUUGAAGUCAAAUUAAGUUUUACAACAGCUACUAAAUAUCAACAUUGCUAAUUUUUUUUAGUGCCUGUUACUAAGAGGGCAUUUCUGAGAUUGAAGUUUAACAUCAGUGAGUAUCUUAUGAACCCUACUGUGAGGGACAAAAUUAUUCAAAAGGUUUGUGUUCAUGACAUGUAUGGUAGAUUCAUAAAUAAAUAAAUAAAUAAUACUAAUUUUUCAUCAUAGACGAUAUCUACCAAUGCCCAGCCUUCAGUGCGUCAGAUCUGUUGGACUACAGAACCAGAGGUGGAAAAUGAAACUUAAAAAACGGUGGCAGAAAUAUAGCUGAAACAAGAAGAAGAAGAAGAAGAAGAAGAAGAAGAAGAAGAAGAAGAAGAAGAAGAAGAAGAAGAAGAAGUGUGUGUUCAAAGAUCAAAAAGAGAAAAAAAACAUCAAAUGUGUGAGGUUUGGGUUUAGCACUUGAAAAUACUAGCUAACUGAUGUUGUAGGUUUAUUAAUUAGAAGUACUAGAAGUUUUUUUUUAGUUUGUUUGUUUGGGAAAUGUAUCUAUGAAAAAUUAUUACCACAAGGUUUGUACAAGGUGCUUGAAUUUGGCAUUUGGAAAUUUAAGUACUGGAAAACCUUGAAAAUAGCCAUUUUUUAUGUAACAGAGGUUAAAAAGUGCUUGAAUGAUAAAAAGUCAAUAAAUAAAAAAUAACAAUCACUUUAAAGGGUUUAUUUUCAAAAGAACACGAAUACAAUCCUUUCACUCAAAAUAUGACUCCCCGCUGCAGCCCCUCCUCCUCCUGCUGUUCACUCAUUCAUUUUAACAGGGACAGCUUCGGUCCACUUCUCAGACCCCUUUAGCAACUUUUUUUUUUUAAGCAUCUAGCGACAUAUCUAGCGACUUUUCGGACAAACAUUCG